GCCCUGGUAGCUCAAUUGGUUAGAGCGUCGGACUUUUACGGCUCAUGCUUGUAAAGCGCCAUCCGAAGGCUGCGGGUUCGACCCCCGCCUGGGGCG